GUUCCAGUAGCUUAAUAAAACCAAAGCACGGCUCUGAAGACGCCACGAUGAAGUGCUACCUUCCAGAACA
rnacentral:tRNA from 1 species